CAACAUGUUAAAUAGGCGGUUUCUCUUUCCUUCUUUAAAGAACACGCUCUGUACUCUCUCCCUCUCUUCUUCCUUGGUCGAAGACUUCAAUGGAGAAAGGGCAAGUUUGAAGCGACCUGCAUAGGAAAAGAAAGAAAAAAAGACACUAUUUCAUAGUUUAAAGCUUUGGGGAGUCUUCCUUGGUGAUUGGAAAAGCUAAUAGUUUAAAGCUUUGGGGAGUCUUCCCUGGUGAUUGGAAAAGCUAGCCUAGUGAAAAGCAAGAGGUGUGAAUCCCAGAAAUUCGAACCCUGUGAGACGGACUACACGUGGAUAGCUAAGUUCAUAGUCUUUGUGUAAAACAAGUUAUAGAAACGGAAAGCAUUCAGGUAUCGCAGCAGUUGACGAUCGUUCUCGGGGCAAGAGGCCCGUGGUUGAUGAGUAGAUCUGAGCAUAGAUGUUGCCUGCUUAUUUUGGGAGUCUGUUGCAUAUAUUGUGACACUGUGAUGUAUUAUGUUUAUGUAGGUUGAUGUAGGAUGUUGUAGUUAUGGCACAGAGUCACCUUUUUGAUAUGAUAUAUAUAGAGUUAUGGAUCAUGUAUGUAUACUACUGUAUAUGAUAUGGAAUUGUUGUAUAUUGUGGGUUGUAAGAGCCCCAAGGCAUUGCUGGUCCUUGUGUGUGCCACCCAUUGGAUUAUUAGGUAUAUUUGUGGUAUUAGCAAGCUUAUGUAAAUUUGGGGAU